AACGCGAAGAACCUUACCUGGGUUGAACUACGUGGGAAAAGCCGCAGAGAUGCGGUGUCCUUCGGGGUCCACGAUAGGUGGUGCAUGGCUGUCGUCAGCUCGUGUCGUGAGAUGUUGGGUUAAGUCCCGCAACGAGCGCAACCCUUGUCCUAUGUUGCCAGCGGGUAAAGCCGGGGACUCGUAGGAGACUGCCGGGGUCAACUCGGAGGAAGGUGGGGACGACGUCAAGUCAUCAUGCCCCUUAUGUCCAGGGCUGCAAACAUGCUACAAUGGCCGGUACAAAGGGCAGCUAAACCGCGAGGUCAAGCGAAUCCCACAAAGCCGGUCUCAGUUCGGAUUGGAGUCUGCAACUCGACUUCAUGAAGCUGGAGUCGCUAGUAAUCCCGGAUCAGCAACGCCGGGGUGAAUACGUUCCCGGGUCUUGUACACACCG
rnacentral:rRNA from 1 species